rnacentral:rRNA from 1 species
AUUGAACGCUGGCGGCAUGCCUUACACAUGCAAGUCGAACGGCAGCGCGGACUUCGGUCUGGCGGCGAGUGGCGAACGGGUGAGUAAUAUAUCGGAACGUACCCAAGAGUGGGGGAUAACGUAGCGAAAGUUACGCUAAUACCGCAUACGAUCUAAGGAUGAAAGCAGGGGACCGCAAGGCCUUGUGCUCCUGGAGCGGCCGAUAUCUGAUUAGCUAGUUGGUGGGGUAAAGGCCCACCAAGGCAUCGAUCAGUAGCUGGUCUGAGAGGACGACCAGCCACCCUGGAACUGAGACACGGUCCAGACUCCUACGGGAGGCAGCAGUGGGGAAUUUUGGACAAUGGGGGCAACCCUGAUCCAGCAAUGCCGCGUGAGUGAAGAAGGCCCUCGGGUUGUAAAGCUCUUUUGUCAGGGAAGAAAAGAUUCGGGCUAAUAUCCCGGGUUCAUGACGGUACCUGAAGAAUAAGCACCGGCUAACUACGUGCCAGCCGCCGCGGUAAGAC